GACAGAGGGUGCAAACGUUGCUCGGAAUUACUGGGCGUAAAGCGCGUGUAGGCGGACCAGCAAGUCGGACGUGAAAUCCCUGAGCUCAACUCAGGAACUGCAUCCCGAAACUGCUGGUCUGGAGUGGUGGAGAGGGAAGCAGAAUUCCUGGUGUAGCGGUGAAAUGCGUAGAUAUCAGGAGGAACACCGGCGGUGUAGACGGCUUUCUGGGACCGUAGCUGACGCUGAGACACGAA
rnacentral:rRNA from 1 species